rnacentral:tRNA from 3 species
GCGGAAGUGGCUCAGUUGGUAGAGCAUCACCUUGCCAAGGUGAGGGUCGCGGGUUCGAAUCCCGUCUUCCGCU